GAGUUAGAUCCUAGCUCAUGAUGAACGCUGGCGGCAUGCUUAACACAUGCAAGUCAGAUGGGAAACAUAGGAAACGGUGUUUCUAGUGGUAGACGAAUGAGUAACGCAUAAGAACCUACCCUUGGGAAGGGAACAUUAGCUGGAAAUGGAUGCCAAAACCCUAUAGGCUGAGGAGCAAAAGGAGGAAUCCGCUCGAGGAGGGGCUCCCGUCUGAUUAGCUAGUUGGUGGGGUAAUAGCUUACCAAAACAAUGAUUAGUAGCUGGUCUGAGAGGAUGAUCAGCCACACUGGGAAUAAGACACGGCCCAUACACCUAUAGGAGACAGCAAUGGGGAAUUUUUUGUAAUGGGCGAAAGCCUGACAAAGCAAUGUCGCAUAGAGGUAGAAGGCCCAUAGGUCGUGAACUUUUUUUCCCAGUCUUGGGAAUAAGCAUCGGCUAACUCUGUGCCAGUAGCUGUAGUAAUACAGGGGAUGCAAGCAUUAUCCAGAAUGAUUGGUCGUAAAGCGUCUGUAGGUGGCUUUUUAAGUCCGCCAUCAAAUCUAAGGGCUCAACCCUGGACAAGCAGUAUAAACUACCAAACUAGAGUACGGUAGGGGUAGAGGGAAUUUUUGGUAGAGUGGUGAAAUCCAUAGAGAUUAGAAAGAACAUCAACAGCAAAAUCACUCUACUGGGACGACACUAACACUGAGAGCCAAAAGUUAGGAGAGCGAAUGGGAUUAGAUGCCCUAGUAGUCCUAGCCGUAAAUGAUGGAUACUAGGCAUUAUGCUUAUUGACCCGUGCAGUGUUGUAGCUAAUGCAUUAAGUAUCCCGCC
rnacentral:ncRNA from 1 species